rnacentral:lncRNA from 1 species
GGCUUUCUUUCUCAGCAUUAUUGGUUCAGAUCCUCCAAUCACAAAUUAUCCUGUAGGAGUUGAGGUCCCAAAGAACAUUCAUGGCGAUAAAGAAGAGACUACUGCGCCAGCAUAGCACCCUCUGUCUGGCUUCUUUACAACGGCUAUUAACGUUGCUUGUUGGAGUUUCCUGUUAUAUGAUCAGUACUAUAAGAAACUCGUAACAUCUAUUCCUUUUCCUCCAUUCAUGUAAACAGAUCAGCUUAGUGGAUAGAUUAGCUCUCAUCAUCUACUUACAUAAUGUCUAACUCUAAACGGUGGAGUUCAAUCAAGAUCAUUUUAGAUGUUACAUCAGCUCUAUUUACCCAUAUGAACAAAUAUUACAUCCUGAAUACUACUAUCAGCAUAUCGAAGUAUCACUGUUACAAAGUGUUUCUCUCCCUUCCCGCCAGAGGAAGGUAAAGCAGUAACCUCCAUGAAUGUAAAGGCAAAUCUGUUGGCUGGCAGGGACUGAGAGCUGGCUUCUCUCUAGUUAGCAGAAUCAUUUGGCAGGAACUUGUUGAGACAUGAAACCACCCUGGUAUUUUUAUUUUGCAACAGACAAACAUCAGGAUUUUGGUUCAAUCAGCUUUCUGUUCCAAAUUAGUCACUAGAGCAUGUUACUUUACCUUUCAUUCUCAAUGGCCAGAGAACGAAGUUCACAAUUCUUGAAUCUGGAAAUGCAA